rnacentral:rRNA from 1 species
GUAACAUUGUACCACCUGGCGGCCCCGAUUCCUAUCUCUUCCUGCCCCCGCGUCCCCACCCGCUCCUUCGGCGGUCUUCGCUCUGCAGCCUCUGCUGUUUCCACUCCAUCCAAUCGUCCGUGCUCCAUCCAUGGCCGCACCAGCUCUCCCCCUUGCCAACCACGCCGCGCCCACGGCCACGGCCAGGUACCUCCACCGCAACCACCAGUUGCUGCAGCCCAAGAGGCAGCUCCCGCCCGGCUUCCUCGCCGCUCGGCCUCUCCGGCAGCCGCGCCGGCCGCUCUCCGCCGUGCCGGAAACCAAGGAGGAGGACGCCAAGACGGCCGAGGAGAUCACCGAGAAGUACGGCCUCGAGGUCGGCCUCUGGAAGAUAUUUAGCUCCAAGGAGGAGGAAGGAGGCGAGGAAGGGUUGGAGGGGAAGCCGAGGAAGUCGAGAACGGAGCAGGCCAAGGAGCUCCUGGGCAAGUACGGCGGAGCGUACCUGGCCACCUCGAUCACGCUCUCGCUCAUCUCCUUCACCGCCUGCUACCUCCUCAUCAACGCCGGCGUCGACGUCCAGCAGCUGCUCGGCAAGAUUGGGAUAGCCACGGACGAGACCGGAGGGAAGGUGGGGACAUUCGCGCUGGCCUACGCCGCGCAUAAGGCGGCGUCGCCGAUAAGGUUCCCGCCGACUGUGGCGCUCACGCCGGUGGUGGCCAACUGGAUAGGGAAGAUCACCAAGGGAGGCGACUGACUCCACUGAUGCAGCAGUGAAGCAUAGGCACUUCGAUCGAUGUGCGCUUGCUGGUAGUCUAUGCAUCACGCCCAGCUUAGAUGUUCUAGUAGUGUAAAUGAAAUCUGGCUAAAGUACGAUUUUGCCUACUUGUUUUGUAUGUUUGCUGCUGCUCUUGUAAAACAGGAUAGUAAUCCCAAUGUAUCAGAGACAAACUAGUAUUAGUAACUGGGAAUAUAUCGAAUUUUAGCUAGUAAUGAUAACAAUGAAUGGUGAGUCCAGAAAUCGUCAAUGCUUGGGAAAUG